rnacentral:rRNA from 1 species
GAUGAACGCUGGCGGGAGGCUUAACACAUGCAAGUCGAGCGGUAUUGGCUUUCGGGCCAAGAGAGCGGCGCACGGGUGAGUAACGCGUAUGCAACCUGCCCUUUACAGGGAGAUAGCCCGUUGAAAGACGGAUUAAUACCCCAUAUUCUUUAAGUGCCGCAUGGCACUUAAAGGAAAGCUGCGGCGGUAAAGGAUGGGCAUGCGUGACAUUAGCUGGUUGGUAAGGUAACGGCCUACCAAGGCAACGAUGUCUAGGGGAUCUGAGAGGAUGACCCCCCACACUGGUACUGAGACACGGACCAGACUCCUACGGGAGGCAGCAGUGAGGAAUAUUGGUCAAUGGGCGGAAGCCUGAACCAGCCAUCCCGCGUGAAGGAAGACGGCCCUACGGGUUGUAAACUUCUUUUCUGCAGGGGUAAUAGUCGCUACGUGUAGCGAUAUGCAAGUACUGCAGGAAUCAGCAUCGGCUAACUCCGUGCCAGCAGCCGCGGUAAUACGGAGGAUGCGAGCGUUAUCCGGAUUUAUUGGGUUUAAAGGGUACGUAGGCGGGCCGUUAAGUCAGUGGUGAAAAUCUGCCGCUCCACGGUAGAAGUGCCGUUGAAACUGACGGUCUUGAGUGCAUUCGAGGCAUGCGGAAUGUGUAGUGUAGCGGUGAAAUGCAUAGAUAUUACACAGAACCCCGAUUGCGAAGGCAGCAUGCCAGGUUGAUACUGACGCUGAAGUACGAAAGCGUGGGGAUCGAACAGGAUUAGAUACCCUGGUAGUCCACGCCGUAAACGAUGCUCACCAGCUGUUUGCGAUAUGAUAGUAAGCGGCCAAGCGAAAGCGAUAAGUGAGCCACCUGGGGAGUACGCCGGCAACGGUGAAACUCAAAGGAAUUGACGGGGGCCCGCACAAGCGGAGGAACAUGUGGUUUAAUUCGAUGAUACGCGAGGAACCUUACCUGGGCUUGAAUGGGUACCGACGUAGUUGGAAACAACUAUUUCUUCGGACGGUAUUCAAGGUGCUGCAUGGUUGUCGUCAGCUCGUGCCGUGAGGGUCGGGUUAAGUCCCAUAACGAGCGCAACCCCUACCGGUAGUUACCAGCAUGUAGCGAUGGGGACUCUACCGGGACUGCCACCGUAAGGUGCGAGGAAGGCGGGGAUGACGUCAAAUCAGCACGGCCCUUAUGUCCAGGGCUACACACGUGUUACAAUGGCCGGUACAGCGGGAAGCGGGUGAGUGAUCACGAGCAGAUCCCGAAAGCCGGUCCCAGUUCGGAUCGAAGUCUGCAACCCGACUUCGUGAAGCUGGAUUCGCUAGUAAUCGCGCAUCAGCCAUGGCGCGGUGAAUACGUUCCCGGGCCUUGUACACACCGCCCGUCACACCAUGGAAGUUGGGGGCGCCCGAAGUUGGCCGGCAAAUAGGCUGCCUAAGGCGAAAUCAAUGACUGGGGUG